UUGAACUGCAGUUAUUACUUGCCCUCCUAGCUUCAUACCAUUCAGACCCAUACAAGCUUUGAAUGUAACUGAAUGGUCUGCAUACUCUAGAAAAGCGUAAGGCUCAUUAAGAUUAUCACUGCUUUCAAAACCGUAUGCCUUCAAAGGUCCAUAAGUGCUUGCAAUCUCCAUAAUCAUUUUAGAAGAAAAAGCCUUUGGGAUUCCACCAAUGAAGAUCUGCAUCAAC
rnacentral:misc_RNA from 1 species